rnacentral:rRNA from 1 species
CCUACGGGAGGCAGCAGUGGGGAAUAUUGCACAAUGGGGGAAACCCUGAUGCAGCGACGCCGCGUGAGUGAAGAAGUAAUUCGUUAUGUAAAGCUCUAUCAGCAGGGAAGAAAAUGACGGUACCUGAGUAAGAAGCCCCGGCUAACUACGUACCAGCAGCAGCGGGAAUACGUAGGGGGCAAGCGUUAUCCGGAUUUACUGGGGGGAAAGGGAGCGGAGACGGCAGUGCAAGUCUGGAUUGAAAGGCGGGGGCUCAACCCCCGGACUGCUCUGGAAACUGUACGGCUGGAGUGCAGGAGAGGUAAGUGGAAUUCCUAGUGUAGCGGUGAAAUGCGUAGAUAGUAGGAGGAACACCAGUGGCGAAGGCGGCUUACUGGACUGUAACUGACGUUGAGGCUCGAAAGCGUGGGGAGCAAACAGGAUUAGAUACCCCAGUAGUC